rnacentral:rRNA from 1 species
UGUCUAAGUUCAAAUGGCCUAUAAAGGUGAAACCGCGAACGGCUCAUUACAACAGCUAUUAUAUACUUGAUCUUGAUAUCCUACGUGGAUAACUGUGGUAAUUCUAGAGCUAAUACAUGCACCAAAGCUCCGACUCGUUGACGAGCGCAUCUAUUAGAUUAAAACCAAUCGGGCCUCGGCCCGUGAUUUGGUGACUCUGAAUAACUAUGGCUGAUCGCAUGGUCUCGCACCGGCGACGUGUCUAUCAAGUGUCUGCCUUAUCAACUGUCGAUGGUAGUUUAUGUGCCUACCAUGGUUGUAACGGGUAACGGAGAAUAAGGGUUCGACUCCGGAGAGGGAGCCUGAGAAACGGCUACCACAUCCAAGGAAGGCAGCAGGCGCGCAAAUUACCCACUCUCGGCAUGAGGAGGUAGUGACGAAAAAUAACGAGACCGUUCUCUAUGAGGCCGGUUAUCGGAAUGGGUACAAUUUAAACCCGUUAACGAGGAUCUAUGAGAGGGCAAGUCUGGUGCCAGCAGCCGCGGUAAUUCCAGCUCUCAAAGUGUAUAUCGUCAUUGCUGCGGUUAAAAAGCUCGUAGUUGGAUCUGCGCCUCAGGACUCGGUCCGCCCACUGGGCGAGAACUGGGCUCCUGGGCUAGUACUGUUGGUUUUCCCUACGUUGCCUUCAUCGGUCGCGUAGGGUGGCUAGCGAGUUUACUUUGAAAAAAUUAGAGUGCUUCACGCGGGCUUAUGUCUGAAUACUCGUGCAUGGAAUAAUAGAAUAGGAUCUCGGUUCUAUUUUGUUGGUUUUCUGAUCUGAGAUAAUGGUUAAGAGGGACGGACGGGGGCAUUCGUAUCGCUGCGUGAGAGGUGAAAUUCUUGGACCGUAGCGAGACGACCGACUGCGAAAGCAUUUGCCAAGAAUGUCUUCAUUAAUCAAGAACGAAAGUCAGAGGUUCGAAGGCGAUCAGAUACCGCCCUAGUUCUGACCGUAAACGAUACCAACUAGCGUUCCGUCGGCGGUAAAUACGCCUUGACGGGCAGCUUCCCGGAAACGAAAGUCUUUCGGUUCCGGGGGAAGUAUGGUUGCAAAGCUGAAACUUAAAGAAAUUGACGGAAGGGCACCACCAGGAGUGGAGCCUGCGGCUUAAUUUGACUCAACACGGGAAAACUCACCUGGCCCGGACACCGUGAGGAUUGACAGAUUGAGAGCUCUUUCUUGAUUCGGUGGUUGGUGGUGCAUGGCCGUUCUUAGUUGGUGGAGUGAUUUGUCUGGUUUAUUCCGAUAACGAGCGAGACUCUAGCCUACUAAAUAGUCGCUGGAUAAUCAAGUCCAGAAGACUUCUUAGAGGGACAAGCGGUGUUCAGCCGCAUGAAGUUGAGCAAUAACAGGUCUGUGAUGCCCUUAGAUGUCCAGGGCUGCACGCGCGCUACACUGGAGGAAUCAGCGUGCUGUAACCAUUGCCGAAAGGUAUUGGUAACCCCUUGAAAAUCCUCCGUGAUCGGGAUCGGGAAUUGCAAUUAUUUCCCUUGAACGAGGAAUUCCUAGUAAGUGUGAGUCAUCAGCUCACGUUGAUUACGUCCCUGCCCUUUGUACACACCGCCCGUCGCUGCCCGGGACUGAGCCGUUUCGAGAAAAGCGGGGACUGCUGUUUCGAGACCUUUCGAGGUGGAGAUUCUUUGGUGGAAACCGCCUUAAUCGCAGUGGCUUGAACCGGGCAAAAGUCGUAACAAGGUUUCCGUAGGUGAACCUGCGGAAGGAUCAUUAUCGAGCUUUUGAAAGCCUCAUAGCGUGCAUACUUCCAUUUGCGCGCACGUGAGCCGCGCGCCGUGUCGCAUGAUUGGUCGCCAGCUGUUUUGGCAGGCAAUGGCUAGCGCAUGGCGUGUGUUUUGAGGGUAUGCGGGUGAUGCGCCGUGCUAGGUGGCGUUUCGCGAGCGCUCGAGUACCCGUUAUUCGUAACAACGGUGUCCAUGUUGGUGUCUACGCUUCAUUGAGCUGCCGCCGGACCGUCGGUAGCGAUGAAAGAUGAAGGUACAGUUCCUCGGUGCGCGGCUGUAAUGCUGCUGCGCCGGGUAGAGCAGACUUAAUGAGCGUUCAGCUUGCGCGCCGCCAACGACCAAAACACAACCACAUCUGUGAGCGUUGCAGGAUGAAAAAGGCGCAUUCGUUUGCGCUUUAAACGUACUACUCUUAGCGGUGGAUCACUUGGCUCGUGGAUCGAUGAAGAACGCAGCUAGCUGCGAUAAAUAGUGCGAAUUGCAGACACAUUGAGCACGAAUACUUUGAACGCGCAUUGCGCCAUCGGGUUCAUUCCCGUUGGCACGUCUGGCUGAGGGUCGUUUUUGGUUCAACACGGAGGUGCGCUGCGUGAGCGCACAGUACGGCCGUGUCCUAGGCGGGCGGCUAUUCGAAGCAGGCACGAUUGGCUCGGAUACCCGGCUUGGAUUGGACGUGGCGCCAGCGAACUCGCUUGGAAAAGCGAGGCGUGCUACGUACGAGGUGAAGCGCGGCUCGGAUGCGGCGGUUCCCCAGCAAGUGUUGAUCGUGGUCCCGCCUUGGGCCAUUCGAUUCAUUCGUUGGGGAGGCGCGCGCGUGCGUGCGUCCGCUCUGCGCUGAUCGUACUAAUGUAGCGUUUGAAAUUUCUGACCUCAGCUCAGUCGUGACUACCCGCUGAAUUUAAGCAUAUAACUAAGCGGAGGAAAAGAAACUAACGAGGAUUCCCCCAGUAACGGCGAGUGAACGGGGAAGAGCCCAGCGCUGAAUCCCUCGGCCAUUGGUCGCUGGGAACUGUAGCGUAUAGGUGCGACUGUCCGCUCGUUUCGCGCACCCAAAGUCCCCUUGAGCGGGGCUACAGUCCAUAGAAGGUGCUAGACCUGUACGGGUGGCGAGGCGUGCGGUAGGUUGUUCCUUGGAGUCGGGUUGCCUGAGAUCGCAGCCCAAAGUUGGUGGUAGAUCUCAUCUAAGGCUAAAUACGGCCACGAGACCGAUAGCAAACAAGUACCGUGAGGGAAAGUUGCAAAGAACUUUGAAGAGAGAGUUCAAGAGGGCGUGAAACCGCUGAGAUUGAAACGGAUAGAGUUGACGGAACUCGAUGGCAUUCAACCGAUCCGAGCGGCGGCCUAGCGGCUCUGCGCCUCGAUGAGGACAGCGACGCGAGUAGCUGCAGCUUGCUGGUGGGUGUAUUUGCCGUCGGUAUGCGCUGAGAGGUUUGCCAGCGUGCGCUGAUGGGCGUGUAGCGGACCAUUCCUUCCGGGCGUGGAACCCUUCGCGCUUUGAGGCGUAUCGUUGGUGAAUUUGAAGUGCUGUCUUCGCUAUGGUGCGUCGUAUGCGGCGCGGCUGUUGCGGCUAUUGGGCGGUCGCGUGCGACUGCUUGUAGUUUGUGACAACCCGCCGUAUUGCUUGAUGCGUCGAGAUGGCAUCUCGGUGUGAACGUUGACCACCUAUCCGACCCGUCUUGAAACACGGACCAAGGAGUCUAGCAUAUGCGCGAGUCACUGGGUGGUAAACCUAAAGGCGUAAUGAAAGUAAACGUUGCCUUGAUGCAACUGAUAUGGGAUCCGUGUGUCCUAACGGUAGCACGGCGCACCAUAGCCCCGUCCUCGUUGCUUGCAACAGGGCGGAGGUAGAGCGCAUACGCUGGUACCCGAAAGAUGGUGAACUAUGCCUGAGCAGGAUGAAGCCAGAGGAAACUCUGGUGGAGGUCCGAAGCGGUUCUGACGUGCAAAUC